GAAAGUUGUAGCUCAGUGGUAGAACAGCUGCUUUGCAUACAGAAGGACUCUGGUUCAAUCCCUGACACCUGCCA